UACGGAGGGUGCUAGCGUUGUUCGGAAUUACUGGGCGUAAAGGGCGCGUAGGCUGUUGCGCAAGUCAGGAGUGAAAGCCUCAGGCUCAACCUGAGAACUGCUUCUGAAACUGUGUGACUGGAGUUCGGUAGAGGAUGGUGGAAUUCCCCGUGUAGAGGUGAAAUUCGUAGAUAUGGGGAGGAAGACCGGAGGCGAAGGCGGCCAUCUGGACCGAAACUGACGCUGAGGCGCGAAAGCGUGGGGAGCAAACAGG
rnacentral:rRNA from 1 species